GGAAAAAAAAGUACUCAAAUACCAGAGGUAGAGUAAUAUGAUUACUUUAAAAGCAGCAGAAAUAUAACAAAAGCUGUUACUCAGAGUUUCACGUUCCCGUUCGUUGGGAACGUGAAACUCUGAGUAACAGCUUUUGUCAUAUUUCUGCUGCUUUUAAAUAAAUGCAGUCAUAUAC
rfam:Octopus bimaculoides Scaffold14244_contig_101, whole genome shotgun sequence.